GAUGAACGCUGGCGGCGUGCUUAACACAUGCAAGUCGAACGGAAAGGCCCAAGCUUGCUUGGGUACUCGAGUGGCGAACGGGUGAGUAACACGUGGGUGAUCUGCCCUGCACUUCGGGAUAAGCCUGGGAAACUGGGUCUAAUACCGGAUAGGACGAUGGUUUGGAUGCCAUUGUGGAAAGUUUUUUCGGUGUGGGAUGAGCUCGCGGCCUAUCAGCUUGUUGGUGGGGUAAUGGCCUACCAAGGCGUCGACGGGUAGCCGGCCUGAGAGGGUGUACGGCCACAUUGGGACUGAGAGACGGCCCAGAGUCCUACGGGAGGCAGCAGUGGGGAAUAUUGCACAAUGGGCGCAAGCCUGAUGCAGCGACGCCGCGUGGGGGAUGACGGCCUUCGGGUUGUAAACUCCUUUCGCUAGGGACGAAGCGUUUUUGUGACGGUACCUGGAGAAGAAGCACCGGCUAACUACGUG
rnacentral:rRNA from 1 species